rnacentral:rRNA from 1 species
CGCCUAACACAUGCAAGUCGAACGGUUCUUCGGAACAGUGGCAAACGGGCGAGUAACACGUACCUAACCUGCCCUCGAGCGAGGCACAACUAUGGAGACAUAGCUAAUUCCUCAUACGAUCCAUAAAAUGAAAAUAUAUGGAUGAAAGGUUUACCACUCGAGGAGGGGGGUGCGGUCUAUCAGAUAGUUGGUGAGGUAAAGGCUCACCAAGUCUAUGACGGAUAGUCGGUCUGAGAUGAUGUCCGGCCGCAAUGGGACUGAGACACGGCCCAUACUCCUACGGGAGGCAGCAGUGGGGAAUCUUGCGCAAUGGACGAAAGUCUGACGCAGCGAUCCCGCGUGGAGGAUGACACCUUACGGGGCGUAAACUCCUUUUUUGGUGGAAGACGAAAGACGGUACACCAAGAAUAAAGGACGGCUAACUACGUGCCAGCAGCCGCGGUAAUACGUAGGUCCUAAGCGUUAUCCGGAUUUACUGGGCGUAGAGCGUCUGUAGCUGGAAAAGUAAGUCUGCUUUCAAAUACUAUGGCUCAACCAUAGAAAGGGAAUGGAUACUGCUUAUCUAGAGGUUAUUAGGGGUUAGUGGAAUUUCCGGUGGAGCGGUGAAAUGUGUUGAUAUCGGAAGGAACGCCAAAAGCGAAAGCAGCUAACUAUAAUAAACCUGACAGUCAGAGACGAAAGCUUGGGUAGCAAACGGGAUUAGAUACCCCGGUAGUCCAAGCCGUAAAUUAUGCUUGCUAGAUGUUUUCUCCAUCUUGGAGGGAGUGU